UGAGACACGGCCCAGACUCNUACGGGAGGCAGCAGUGGGGAAUUUUGGACAAUGGGCGAAAGCCUGAUCCAGCAAUGCCGCGUGUGUGAAGAAGGCCUUCGGGUUGUAAAGCACUUUUGUCCGGAAAGAAAUCCUUGGCUCUAAUACAGCCGGGGGAUGACGGUACCGGAAGAAUAAGCACCGGCUAACUACGUGCCAGCAGCCGCGGUAAUACGUAGGGUGCAAGCGUUAAUCGGAAUUACUGGGCGUAAAGCGUGCGCAGGCGGUUUGCUAAGACCGAUGUGAAAUCCCCGGGCUCAACCUGGGAACUGCAUUGGUGACUGGCAGGCUAGAGUAUGGCAGAGGGGGGUAGAAUUCCACGUGUAGCAGUGAAAUGCGUAGAGAUGUGGAGGAAUACCGAUGGCGAAGGCAGCCCCCUGGGCCAAUACUGACGCUCAUGCACGAAAGCGUGGGGAGCAAACAGGAUUAGAUACCCUGGUAGUCCACGCCCUAAACGAUGUCAACUAGUUGUUGGGGAUUCAUUUCCUUAGUAACGUAGCUAACGCGUGAAGUUGACCGCCUGGGG
rnacentral:rRNA from 1 species